CGGAGCUUCUGGUUGCCGCCGGAGCUGCCGCCGAGCCGGUUCGGAGACCGCCGCCGUGUCGGUUCAGCCGUUCCUCCUUCGGUUCAAGUUGUUGAGACUGUUGCGAAAAUGGCUUGGAACCGAGGUUUUGGCUGCCGGGAUUUUGAUUGUUGAUCUCGGGUUGAGGCGGAAAGGAUUCUGUGAUGCGUUUGGAUUAUGGAUUUGCAUUUUGAGGUAGGGGCGCUUUCCAAAACUAUGUUUUAUGUAUUGGAAUUAUUACAUAUGGAUACUGAUAUGAGAUAUUGUGUAUUUGGUGAUUGAAAUUGCCUUAUGUAUUAUUUGAUUGACUCGAAUGAUUAUAGAUGUUGGUUUGGCUGAAUUGUUGUGCGGCUUAUUGAAAUGUAAUGUUUUAAAGUUGAUUCUUUAAAGAUUUAAAAUAUGAGUUUAAACCGUUGAGGAUUGGUUU